GGCGCACGGGGAGGCGGUGGGCGCCAAAGGAAGGGGGUGAGAAGCCCCUCUUCUCCCCACCCCACGGCUCAAGGAGUCCGGGCGGCGGAGCAGAGUCACACCCAGAACCUCCUCCUGCCCCUGCUUCGCCAAGCCACUCGGUAGAGUCGCCGAGCCCGCACCUGGCAGACCCCCUCCAGCCUCAGAGAGAGACUCCUGUCCUAAAUGUCCGAAGCCCCAGCAGAGGGACUGUCCAGCUGAAUCCAGUCAACGCACAGAACCCCCCAAACUGGAAACAACCUGAUGUCCACCGACUGAUGAACGAGGAGACACGACACGUUGUAUCACUGUGACAGAACCUCUUCAGCACCAAAAGGAGCAAAUGACUGACACCUGUCACAUCAUGGACGAACCUCAGAAACAUUAUGCAAUGUGAAAGAGCCACACACAACAUAGUGACAUGGCAGAGGCGAAUGGGCUCAACUUUACGAUGCUUUUGUCACUGAAUGGAAGAAGAGAAUUAUAACGUCCUUCAGGAGGAAGGCUGUGGUGUCCGUUCCAGUCUGGCCUCUCAGAAAUGCAGACCUUCUAGAAUCUAGAAUGGAAAGGGGGCUUCGAGAGAAUGAUCUGAUCCAAAGGCAGAGACGUUUGUGUCCACCUAGAUUUACCUUAUUUUUAAAGGCCCUCAAAGUAGGCAACUGAAACAUCUUGUCUAAUCAUCCAUUAAUUCCCACAUCGGAAGUUUACUACUUUUUGUCGGUAAAGUUUAAAGCCCAGCAAUUUAUUUUUUAAUCUCUAAAUGUGUUUUUACUUGUGUUUUACAAAUUCACAUUGUACAAAAUUCAAAAGGGACGAGAGUGUAGAUAGUAAAAUAUUUCUCUCCUGUUCUUAUGUUCUUGUCCCCAGCCAUCUAGUUUCCUUCUCUGGGGCCCUUUUUUUUUUUUUUAAUUUUAAUUGAAGUAAAACAUAUUUACAUAACAUAAAAUUCAUCAUUUUAACCAUUUUAAAGUGUGUGAUUCAGCAGUUUUUAUAUAUCCGCAGUGUUUUGCAAUCAUCAUUCCUAUCUAAUUCCAGAAUAUUUCCAUCACCCCAAAACAAAACCCUGUACAUUUCCCAAUUCCUCCUCCCUGUUCCCUA